UACAGAGGUGGCAAGCGUUUGUUCGGAAUUACUGGGCGUAAAGGGCGCGUAGGCGGCCUUCUAAGUCAGACGUGAAAUCCCCCGGCUUAACCUGGGAACUGCGUCUGAUACUGGGAGGCUUGAGUAUGGGAGAGGGAUGUAGAAUUCCAGGUGUAGCGGUGAAAUGCGUAGAUAUCUGGAGGAAUACCGGUGGCGAAGGCGGCAUCCUGGACCAUUACUGACGCUGAGGCGCGAAAGCUAGGGGAGCAAACGGGG
rnacentral:rRNA from 1 species